rnacentral:rRNA from 1 species
GACGGAGGAUGCAAGUGUUAUCCGGAAUCACUGGGCGUAAAGCGUCUGUAGGUGGUUUAAAAAGUCCACUGUUAAAAAUUGAAGCUUAACUUCAAAGAUGCCGUGGAAACUUUUAAACUUGAGUAUGAUAGGGGUAGAGGGAAUUUCCAGUGGAGCGGUAAAAUGCGUAGAUAUUGGAAAGACCACCAAUGGCGAAGGCACUCUACUGGGCCAUUACUGACACUGAGAGACGAAAGCUAGGGGAGCAAAUGGG